ACUGUAAAAAAGCCAACUUAUGAAAAGUUAUCUAAAUAAAGUUUUAAAAGUAAACUGAACUAAGAUAUUUUUGUUUGACAUAUUCAGAAAUAAUACUUAGUUUAUUCAACAAAUAUGUUGCUUCAAUGUUAAAAAACUGUAUAAUACUAAAAAUGUUUUGUUGAACUUACAUUAAAAUGUUAGUUUUGCGUUAAAGCGUGCGUUUGCGUCUUGUUGGCGCAAGCGCAUGGUAAUUUGAAACUUCGACUGCGGGGAUUACUGAAAGGGCAGCAUCGUGCCAAUUCACUCGUUUCUGCCGAGUUACAGUGUAGUGUUGAUUUGAAACAGCGUGCCGGUUCAAAGCAGUCCAGCAUUUCUGCCAAAUCAUAGGUCCUGUCUAUCCGGAUGCCUGUCGGCACUGUUUAAACGUUGCGCGUCUUCUUAACGGUUUUGACGGCGGAACAGACAGUGGGAACUACUGUAAGUAUAUCAAGAACAUCGUGUGACAUUCAGGCAAUAUACAUCACUUGAGACGUUCGGUUAUCUCGACUAAACGGCCAAUAAAUUGUAUUGUGGCGCUGGCUAACCAGGCCAACUUAACUUACCUCAAGACUGGAAGCUGGAAAUCGCUAGCUUUUUGAUCUGCAUGGAGUUCUUCCAGAUCUGUAACAUAGAUCUCCUGAAAAAGUUCAGCGAAUCACUUGAUAAAUAUACAGCACCUCUCCUGAAACUGUACAGAAAAAGAAGAGAUUCAUUGGGUCCAGAAAUGAAGACACUUUUGGACAAGCUGGAUGAGCAGGCCAGUGAUAUUAUCACUCACCGAAAAAGAGCAGCUCUUGAGGGACUGCCACUCAUUCUGCGUGAAAAUUCGGCUUUCUUGCUCAAGAUGUGUCUGGACGUUGACCCUGAAGCCCACAGCACCAGAGGUGUAAAGAUCGGAAUCCUAACUGUGGUUGAGGAUGAUGUUGGCACUCCUGCUUCACUGGCCACUGUGAUCAACCAUGCAAUAAUCCUGGAAGAGGCCAUUGUUCUUCAGGAUAUUCCAGAUCUGCCUGAAGCCUUUGCUUACUUGUUCGGUCUCUUGUAUGCACUCAAUAAGGAAUACCCAAAAGAACUGAAAUAUACUUUUGAAGUCAUUCAGAAAAUCUUUAUGGAUCUUGGUGAUACCUGCUCUGCGAGAGUCCAGUCACUAAAAUCAAAAUUGUUGUAGCUGACCAUUUUGCGGAUGUUAUUGGAGCUAUGGCAAAUGGGACAAUGAUUUUUGCAAUCAAAAUUUAGUAGUACAUACUGAUUUAUUACAAUGUAUAAUUUGGUUCAAUCUUUGCACCUUUAACGAAUACUGAAUCUUUUAGUUUUGUUUUUUGUUUUUAUCUGGCAGUAACGGUACAAGCUAUUUUUUUUUCUGAUACACUUACAUGCAGUAAAAUAGUUCAUGUUAUAUAUGAAUCAUACUUUACUAAGGUUUGAGGUUUAUUCAGAUGUGAUGUUAAUGUAUUCUCAAUGUUGAUCUGCCGAAAUAAUACAAAAUUCUUUAUGCAGUGUUUGAAUCUAGUAUAUUUUGACGUAUACUUGUUUUGGAUUUAAUGUACUUUGCUGUUCUGCCGAAUAAGAAUGCUUUAUACACUGUGGUUCGAGGUUUUGCUCGGAUGCUUUUACUUUUGUUGGUUUCGGGUUUUUGGGCAAAAUAUUACUUUUUUUGGAGCUCAUCUUUCAAUUUAUGUUGAAAAAAGUGGUAGUUUUUAUAAUUUACAAAUUUCCAAUGAUUAACAUUUCUGUACUAUUUUUCUAUAAACAUGCCUAAUGCAGAAGACGUGUAUGGCAUAUGGUAGACUGUAUUGUAAUGUGUUCGGACAAACUAUUAAAAAAAG